GAUUUCUGGUCAGAUUGUCUUGACCUAUUAACGGUUACGUUAAUAUGUGUUAGGGUUGGAUCGACCAUCCUUUCAAUUGUUAUUAAUUUUCUUCUUGACUGAAGAAAUUUAAUAAAUUCAAACAAUUGAAUCUUUACUUUGAAAAAAUUAGAGUGUUUAAAGCACGCUUUUAUGAAUACAUUAGCAUGGAAUAAUAAUUUAGGACUUUGGUUCUAUUUUGUUGGUUUCUAGAACUAGAGUAAUGAUUGAUAGGGAUAGUUGGAGGUGCUAGUAUUCAGUGGCCAGAGGUGAAAUUCUUGGAUUCACUGAAAACUAACUUAUGCGAAAGCAUU
rnacentral:rRNA from 1 species